rnacentral:tRNA from 1 species
GAGCCUGUAGCUCAGUCUGGUCAGAGCGACUGGCUCUUAACCAGUAGGUCGCGGGUUCAAAUCCUGUCAGGUGGA